AUUGAACGCUGGCGGCAGGCCUAACACAUGCAAGUCGAGCGGAGCGGCGGACGGGUGAGUAAUGCCUAGGGAUCUGCCUGGUAGUGGGGGAUAACGUCCGGAAACGGGCGCUAAUACCGCAUACUAUCAGAUGAGCCUAGGUCGGAUUAGCUAGUUGGUGGGGUAAAGGCCUACCAAGGCGACGAUCCGUAACUAGUCUGAGAGGAUGAUCAGUCACACGGGAACGGAGAAACGGUCCAGACUCCUACGGGGGGCAGCAGUGGGGAAUAUGGGAAAAUGGGCGAAAGCCGGAUCCAGCCAUGCCGCGUGGGUGAAGAAGGUUUUCGGAUUGUAAAGCACUUUAAGUUGGGAGGCGUUACCAACAGAAUAAGCAACGGCUAACUUCGUGCCAGCAGCCGCGGUAAUUC
rnacentral:rRNA from 1 species